GCAAAAUUUCAACACUGCAGAAUUAAGCAGGAAAGAAAAGUAGCUAUAUGAGAAAAAGCAGAGCCUUUUUAUUUAUGAUUUCUUUCGGGCUGCUGCUACAUAACAGUAUACGGGAGCUGGCAAACUUUGCAGGGUCUCUUACCAUCUGACAAGUCAAUCAGUCCAAGGUAGUGCAAAAGUUUCAGAGAGGAACAAAUCACCACCACAAUUCCUAAAGUCUGGAGCCCUUCAGACUCGCCUUCGCUCCACAUCCUUUAAGAUGUUUUGAAGGACAACUCCCAUCAUCCCUGAAUUCUGGCGAUGCUGGCUAAGGCUGAUGGACAUUAAGUGAAAAAUAUUUGGAGGACAUCAGGUGUCUUGCCACAUGAAAGAGAUGGCCAUGUGAAAUUGUGAAACCAUUUGAACUCACAUGGUUUGGAAACAAUGCACACUAGGAUCUUCACAGCUAUUUGAAUGAACAAGUUGGUGCUGUUCCCAGUGACAUUCUGUCCCAGGAACAAGGAGGCUUUGGUGGUGGUGGUUUGAAAAAACAAAAAGAGGGGAGACAUUAUUCUCAAAAAGACUUCGAGGUUCAUACUGAUAUUGCUUCCCCUCCAUAUCACUUCUCUGCACUGAUUUAAACUGCAGUUACACAAAACUUCCAAAGUGUAUGAUGACAUCUACUAUGGCUGUGUCUUAAUGGUUAAACCCUGCUGUUUGAAGAAGACUCAAGUUCAAGGAAUGAAAUUUGACCCUUCACUUCAGAAACAGGUCUGAGAAAUGAGUAAGAAGAUUCUGUCUUCCCUGUGGGCUGCUAUGAACUCACGUCAUAAGCCAAACCAAUUCCAGUGAAUAUAAUUGACAGAGAAAAAAUGUUUGACUUCUUAACUAGAAAAGUAUAACACUGAAGCAUGUACACUUUUUAAAA